AGUCACCUGCCCCUGACUCUGGAAUAACCGUGGGAAACGACGGCUAAUACCGGAUAUGAGACGUCCACGCAUGUGAGCGUCUGGAAAGAUUUAUCGGUCUGGGAUGGACUCGCGGCCUAUCAGCUUGUUGGUGGGGUAAUGGCCCACCAAGGCGACGACGGGUAGCCGGCCUGAGAGGGCGACCGGCCACACUGGGACUGAGAUACGGCCCAGACUCCUACGGGAGGCAGCAGUGGGGAAUAUUGCACAAUGGGCGCAAGCUGGAUGCAGCGACGCCGCGUGGGGGAUGAAGGCCUUCGGGUUGUAAACCCUUUCAGCAGGGAAGAAGCGAAAGUUACGGUACCUGCAGAAGAAGCGCCGGCUAACUACGUGCCAGCAGCCGCGGUAAUACGUAGGGCGCAAGCGUUGUCCCAGGAAUUAUUGGGCGUAAAGAGCUCGUAGGCGGUUUUGUCGCGUCUGCUGUGAAAACCCGAGGCUCAACCUCGGGCUUGCAGUGGGUACGGGCAGACUAGAGUGCGGUAGGGGUGACUGGAAUUCCUGGUGUAGCGGUGGAAUGCGCAGAUAUCAGGAGGAACACCGAUGGCGAAGGCAGGUCACUGGGCCGCUACUGACGCUGAGGAGCGAAAGCAUGGGGGAGCGAACAGGAUUAGAUACCCUGGUAGUCCAUGCCGUAAACGUUGGGCACUAGGUGUGGGGCUCAUUCCACGAGUUCCGUGCCGCAGCAAACGCAUUAAGUGCCCCGCCUGGGGAGUACGGCCGCAAGGCUAAAACUCAAAGGAAUUGACGGGGGCCCGCACAAGCGGCGGAGCAUGCGGAUUAAUUCGAUGCAACGCGAAGAACCUUACCAAGGCUUGACAUACACCGGAAAAGUGCAGAGAUGUGCUCCCCGCAAGGUCGGUGUACAGGUGGUGCAUGGUUGUCGUCAGCUCGUGUCGUGAGAUGUUGGGUUAAGUCCCGCAACGAGCGCAACCCUCGUCCUAUGUUGCCAGCACGUUAUGGUGGGGACUCAUAGGAGACUGCCGGGGUCAACUCGGAGGAAGGUGGGGAUGACGUCAAAUCAUCAUGCCCCUUAUGUCUUGGGCUUCACGCAUGCUACAAUGGCCGGUACAAAGGGCUGCGAUACCGCAAGGUGGAGCGAAUCCCAAAAAGCCGGUCUCAGUUCGGAUUGGGGUCUGCAACUCGACCCCAUGAAGUCGGAGUCGCUAGUAAUCGCAGAUCAGCAACGCUGCGGUGAAUACGUUCCCGGGCCUUGUACAC
rnacentral:rRNA from 1 species